UACGAAGGGGGCUAGCGUUGCUCGGAAUCACUGGGCGUAAAGCGCACGUAGGCGGAUCUUUAAGUCAGGGGUGAAAUCCCGGAGCUCAACUCCGGAACUGCCUUUGAUACUGGGGAUCUUGAGUUCGAGAGAGGUGAGUGGAACUGCGAGUGUAGAGGUGAAAUUCGUAGAUAUUCGCAAGAACACCAGUGGCGAAGGCGGCUCACUGGCUCGAUACUGACGCUGAGGACGAAAGCGUGGGGAGCGAACAGG
rnacentral:rRNA from 1 species